rnacentral:rRNA from 1 species
GACGAACGCUGGCGGCGUGCCUAAUACAUGCAAGUAGAACGCACAGUUUAUACCGUAGCUUGCUACACCAUAGACUGUGAGUUGCGAACGGGUGAGUAACGCGUAGGUAACCUGCCUGGUAGCGGGGGAUAACUAUUGGAAACGAUAGCUAAUACCGCAUAAUAUUAAUUAUUGCAUGAUAAUUAAUUGAAAGGUGCAAUUGCACCACUACCAGAUGGACCUGCGUUGUAUUAGCUAGUAGGUGAGGUAACGGCUCACCUAGGCGACGAUACAUAGCCGACCUGAGAGGGUGAUCGGCCACACUGGGACUGAGACACGGCCCAGACUCCUACGGGAGGCAGCAGUAGGGCAUCUUCGGCGCUGGCAGCGCGUCUGCCCGCGACACGCCGCGUGAGUGAAGAAGGUCUUCGGAUCGUAAAGCUCUGUUGUAAGAGAAGAACGGGUGUGCGCGUGGCAAGUUCCCACUGUGACGGUAUCUUCACAGAAAGGGCCGGCUCCCUCCGUG